rnacentral:rRNA from 1 species
AUACGGAGGGGGUUAGCGUUGUUCGGAAUUACUGGGCGUAAAGCGCACGUAGGCGGAUUGGAAAGUUGGGGGUGAAAUCCCAGGGCUCAACCCUGGAACUGCCUCCAAAACUAACAGUCUAGAGUUCGAGAGAGGUGAGUGGAAUUCCAAGUGUAGAGGUGAAAUUCGUAGAUAUUUGGAGGAACACCAGUGGCGAAGGCGGCUCACUGGCUCGAUACUGACACUGAGGUGCGAAAGCGUGGGGAGCAAACAGGAUUAGAAACCCUAGUAGACC